AGUGGGAGCCAAGAAAAACACGAGAAAGGCAGAAUGCCCUGACUUUUCAGAAAGACAUCAGGGCGGAGUCUCCAAAUACUUUAUUCUUUCUUACUUGCAUUCCAUAGCCUUCCUGGUACAGAAACCCUUUAAAAAAAAGAUAUAGCCUUGGGUGGAAGAGCCACCUUGGCUGAGUAACAGCUGACGAUUUCUUUUCGGAAACAAAAGAAGGAACGGUUCAAUAAAAAGAAAAGUCCGCCCUCUGGAAUGUGACAUAGGCAUGAAUAAACGCAGGGAGGAAAAGGAUAGUUUGGGAAGUUGGCUUGGAUGCCCGGGGUGAUGAAACCUUCAGGGAAUGGAAAAGAGAGGAGACCAACCCCCACCCACCCACGCCACUCCUUGUGGCAACGCCUCCGUCUCAGAUAUAAGAGGAGAAUACAGACAAGGAGCUGCUAGCUCUCUCCAGCCUUUUAGAACGUAGUCAGAACAUUUCUCUUGGGUGUCUCCAUUUCCUGGCAACCAUGACCACCACCUACAGGCAAUACACCUCUUCCUCCUCGAUGAAGGGGCCUUCCUUUGCUGGGGGUUCCUCCCGGCUUUCCUCUGUCCACCUGGGUGGUGGAUACAGAGCCCCGAGCAUCCAUGGCGGAGCUGGUGGCGUCUCCAUCUCUUCCUCUCGCUAUGUUUCUGGGGUAGGCAGUGCCCUUGGGGGUGGCUAUGGGGUAGGCAGUGCCCUUGGGGGUGGCUAUGGGGGCAGCUUCUGCAGCAGCAGCUUUGGUGGUGGGUUUGGUGGAGGCUAUGGUGGAAGCUUUGUCGCUGGUGGCAGCGAUGUCCUUCUGGCCGGGGGCGAGAAGGAGACCAUGCAGAACCUGAACGACCGCCUGGCUAACUACCUGGACAAGGUGCGGGCGCUGGAGGAAGCCAACACCGAGCUGGAGGUCAAGAUCAAGGAGUGGCACAUGAAGCAGGGACCAGGUCCAGAGCGUGACUACAGCCCAUACUUCAGGACCAUCGAGGAUCUGCGGAGCAAGGUAAAUGGCAAACCAGAGAGCCUUUGGAACCAUUAAAUUGUAGAGUUGGGUCGUCUAGAGCAAUGCAGUGGUGUAAAAACAGUUAAGAAAAGAAGAGUAAGGUAGCUGAAAAAAGAGUGGAUGCUCAAGGGAUCCUUGAGCCCAGGCUGCUGGGUUGCAAACCUAAGCAUGGCUAUUAAGGCAUUUGAACCCUUUCCACUAGUUUCUGGCUUAAGCCCGUAUGCAUGUGUCGCUGUUACAGAGCCCAGAACGACUUGUGACAAUGCAGCUACGACCAUUCACCUUGUACAUAAGAAGAACAGCUAUCUGCAAUUCCUGUAUGAAACUGGGGUGCAAUGGAGAGUUUUCUGCUUGCUGUGGGAAGGGUGGGUUCAGAUCUCUAGAGUGCUCACAUUUUAGGCCUUCCCACACAUUCUGUGGCCAAGUGUGUUAUCAACCGGAUGCUUCUUAGGAAGCUGCAACAAAUCCUUAUCCUGUCGUCUGCCCCAUAUAAUGCUCAUGUUUCCAUAUAUAUCCUUCUCUCAUUUACACACUACAUUUUUAAAAAUUAGUGCAUGCUUAAAUAAUCUUAGGGGCACAAAUGAACUCUUACUCAGAGGUGUGGAUCUCCUGAACUUAAGCUAUGUUGUGCAACUGAGAUAUGUUACCUAAGUUAGAUUUUGGUAUAAGCCCUCUAAAUGUAGGGCACAGAGGAAUGUAGGAAGAUGCCUUAUACCAAGUCAGACCAUUGGUCCAUCUAGCUCAGUAUUGUCUUCACUGACUGGCAGUAACACUCUACAGGAUUUGGUAGGGAGUCUUUCACAGCCCUACCUGGAGAUGUUGGCGAUUGAACCUGGGACCUUCUGCAUGCAAAGCAGAUGCUCUACCCACUAAGCUACGGCCCUUCCCCAUUUUCCUGCCCAUCAUGGGGAGGGGUAAGAAGGGCAUCCUGAUUUCUGGUCUGCCAGUGAGACAUUUGUAGAGUCAAGUCAAAUGAACCAACAGACGAGAGGUUUCCUCCAGAAUACAUCAUAUCUAAUCCUUUUGAUUAAGAUUCUGAUUAAAACAACAACCCCAUAUAACCUUCAGGGAAAUGAAAGUUCACAGAACGACCAAGCUGGAAGAGGUCUUGUAGGCCAUCUAGUCCAACCCCCUUCUUGAUGCAGGAAAUCCAGUUAGUGCAUCCCCAACAGAUGGCUGUCCUCCAACCUCUGCUUCAAGCCUACCCACCCCUAAGUCCAGGGCACCAAUGAGGUGACCUUCCAGAUGUGGUUGGACUCCAACUCCCAUCAUCCUGACCAAGGGCCAAUGCUGGCUGGGUGGGAGAGUUGAUGUGAACUGGAGUCCAGCAAUGUCCAGAGGACACAGUGUUGGCUAUCCCUGUCCUGGGUAAACAGUACCAUAGUCUAAGUGCUUGUAAGUUCAAGAGGUUUCUCCUAAUGGUCAACUGAGAUCUAUGCUCUUGUGGCUUAAAACUAUUAGAUCUAGUUCUUCCUUUUAAAGAAGCAGAUAACGACUUCUUCUUCUUCUUCUUCUUCUUCUUCUUCUUCUUCUUCACCCUCAUCUAUGUAACAACCCAUUAGGUACUUGAAGUGCUGCUCAGCUGCUUUAGAAAAACCGGCUGUGAGACAGGUGCACACCUGACAUGUAAAGUACACCCAAGGUCCAUUUAAAGAACACGGAUUUCCCCAAAGAAUCCUGGGAACUGUAGUUUCUCCAUGAUUCCUAGUUCCCUUAACAAUUUCCAGGAUUCCUUGGGGCAAGUUGGGUGUCCUUUACAUCUCUGGUGUGGACCCACAGUUUCUAAAACCCUUGGUCUCUAAUUAUUUUAAGAGUGAAGGGUGUGGACUGAUGGAGGGAUGGAACUGGAUUAAUUUCCAGUUGAACUAAUCCCUAGGAGGAUGACAACCGCAAGAUCAAGAAAAAGAUAUCAGCUAGAACGCAUGGCUGCAGGGCACCAGUGGCUCCAACUUCAGGUGCACCCAAAAGAAAUACAAGGGCCGUGAGUGAUGUCUGUGAUGACAGGACCCUGGGCUUGUGGAUGUGGGGCGGAUAUGACUUGCGUUCCAAGUAUGCGCUCCCUCUGCCAAGCUGCUCAGAUAAUGGAGGGGCUGGAAGCACCCUGGGGCAGGGAGAGGAGAGUUCUCUGACGCAACUCACCCUUUUGUCUAGCGUUGUGGUGACAGGGCAAUGAGAAGGCGCAGGAGCAACGGUUUUUCACUGGACCGAAACGAGAGAUUAGGAGAGCUCUUUGAAGAGAGAACUGGUUAAAUAAAACAAAUGCAAGCCUGCUCAUUUCCACCUUCCACAACGACCCUGUCAAGUAAGCUGCAUUUCACCAGGGGUGCCAAGUGCAAAAGGAGGCAGGCUGAUCCUGCACCUUUAAUGUGAUGAGAGUGGGGAGCCAGGGUGGCACACUGGCUUGGAGCAGGACCUGGGAAACUAGGGUUCAAAUCCCCACUUGGUAAUGAAGCUUGGACCAGUCACUGCCUUUCAGCCAAAUCUACCUCACAGGGAUGUUGUGGGGGUUAAGUGAAGAGGGGAACCAUGUGAGCUACCUUGAGUUCCUUGGAGGAAAAAAAAAAAAGGUGGGAUAUAAACGUAAUAAAAUAGAUGAUGUGUGGCACUUCAGCAGUUCUGUGCUGCCAUGCCAGCUACACCAGCUGAGACCUCCUCUUCUGCAUGAGUAUCCUGCCCCCUUUCUAUCUGCCCACCCUGCAUUUUACAGAUGAGGAACUGACAGCACAACCCUAUACGCUUCUACUCAAUGCAUUCUACUCAAUGCAUCCCAUUGAGUUCAGUGGCACUUACCCUUGUGCAAAUGAGUAUCCAAAUGCAGCCUGAGUUUGAAAGAGGCCUCACCUAAACAAUUGUAACAGAGGACCUUUUUGUAAAAAAGAUGUAAUGCAGCAGGAAAGAUAUAAUUCAGUAGAAAAGGUUUGAGGAAAAACACUGUGGAGAAGUCAACUGAGGGUGGGAAUUAACUCAGGAAACAAUGUAAUUAUUUGAUUUGAAGGGCAUGGUGAAAAUGUUUUUUGUGUGUCUAUCAUCUAUCUAUCUAUCAUCUAUCUAUCUAUCUAUCUAUCUAUCUAUCUAUCUAUCUAUCUAUCAUCUAUCAUCUAUCUAUCAUCAUCUAUCUAUUAUCUAUCUAUCUAUCUAUCUAUCUAUCUAUCUAUCUAUCUAUGGUAUCUACUAUCUAUCUAUCAAUUAUCUAUCUAUCAUCUAUCUAUCUAUCUAUCUAUCUAUCUAUCUAUCUAUCAUCUAUUUAUGCCUUGAGAGAAGCUUCUGAGUUUGCUCAUGGAUCACCAGAAAUCUCUAUCCAUUGCUUGAUCUACUGAUGUCCUUCCUUGAAAAUGGCACCUAAUAAGGAGCAGCCGAUGGAUAACAACAUAAGAGAACAAGUGCCUUCCUUGCUUGGCAGCAGAUUUUGCCAAUCUGGCAAUUUCCAGACAUCAUGACUCUGCUAUCUAGGGCUGAUGGGAGUUGUAGUUCAAAACAGUUGGCAAGCAGCAGGUUGGCAAGGGCUGAUUUCCAGUUUCCUCAUGUUUAUCAUAAUCCAUUUGGGUGAUAAUAAUAAUAAUAAUAAUAAUAAUUUACACCCCACCCAUCUGGCUGGGUUUCCCCAGCCACUCUGGGUGGCUCCCAACAGAAUAAUAAUAAUAAUAAUAAUAAUAAUACUAACCAGGCAAUAAAACAUCAAAUAUUAAAAACUUCCCUAAACAGGGUUGCCUUCAGAUGUCUUCUAAAAGUCAGAUAGUUGUUUAUUUCCUUGACAUCUGAUGGGAGGGUGUUCCACAGGGAUUAGUAGGGAUUGCUAUUAAUAUGGUCAACCCAAUAGUGGCAGUGAUGGGUAGAGUAAGCCUGUUGGAUAGAUCAUAGAAUCAUAGAAUUGUAGAGUUGGAUGGGACCCUGAGGAUCAUCCAGUCCAACCCCCUGCAUCCAGUCCAACCCCCUGCAAGCUGUCCCAUAUGCAGAUAGAACCUGCAACCUUGACAUUAUCAGCACCCCACUCCAGCCAGCUGAGCUAUCCAGGCUGACCUGAUGCAUGUUAACUUGGUGCCAUGAACUGCCAUUCUAACUUCCACCCUAGGCAUCACUUAAUGCCUGCUCUCGUCCUGUAUACUUAAGAGAGUACAUAAUUCAGACAAGCCUCUUUAAGACUUCUCUUUAAGACUACUUGUUCUUUCCCCAGAUAUUGGCUGCCACUGUUGACAAUGCUGGCAUCAUCCUGCAGAUUGACAAUGCCCGCCUGGCAGCCGAUGACUUCAGAACCAAGUAAGUUGUGCUUCCGCAGAAUAUGUAUGAACCAUGAGCAGGUGGAACAAACAUUUCAUUUGGAGAACGGUCUCCAAUCUACGGCUCCCUGGACUGAUGAAGUUGCUUCAGCCAUAUUAAGCACUGGCACUAGGAUUCAAAUUGGCCAACAGCUUCCAAGGCAGAUCUAAAAACCACUCAACAAGUUGGAGCAAGGAAAGAAAAAUUAGGUUUAGAAACACAGAGUUUGGUCCAGAACACAAGCAAGGUGUAAUUAGCAGGCUGGAUUAGGAAGCCAACAAACAAGGCUGGAUAAUCUGACAUCUCAUAUAUCAGGAAACUUAACUGAAGGCCUGUCAUGAACAACUAGUCUGAAAAAGCAAAUACCGUAUUUUUCUGUGUAUAAGACGUCCCCUAUUUUGGAGGACUAAAUUUAAAGAAAAUGAGAGGAGAUGGCCCGAGGUUGUUGAGCUUUUUUUAGGGGGAAUUGCACUCCUUCACCCCAGAAGGGCCGUUGCUGGGGGUUGGCAAAGGGGGCAGACGCUCCCCCCAUGAUGCUCCCUAGACUGUGCACCUCCCUCAGCGGCAUGCGGGGGAGUUGCAUGUCCACCAACCAGCUGGCUGGUGGCAUACAGCUCCCCCCCCACUAUCCGUGUAUAGGAUGACCCCAGUUUUUUUGACAUGAUUUUUGAGCCAAAAAAACUUGUCUAAUACAUGGAAAAAUACAGUAAGCAAAACUAUGUGGAACAAAACAAAACAAAAAAUAUGAAAAAGGGAUAUCUUAAUUUAAUCUGUCCUUUUUUCUGAUUCCAGGUUUGAGACAGAGCAAGCUAUGCGCAUGAACGUGGAGGCUGACAUCAAUGGGCUGCGCAGAGUCUUGGAUGAGCUGACCCUGUCCAGGGCAGACCUGGAGAUGCAGAUUGAGAACCUGAAGGAGGAGCUGGCUUAUCUCAGGAAGAACCAUGAAGAGGUAAGAGGCAAAGCUGCCAUGAACCUGUAUCGCAUGGCCAGUGGCAAGUAAAGCAUCCUACACUUGCUGGCUUCAGUCCCAUAACCAACCAGUCAUGUGCCUGUACUGCCAUGCUCAAGAUCUGGUCUUUGGAGUGCCAGGACAAACCCUCAUUUAGGGUGGCUUGUGAUGGUGUGCAGAAAGUCUAAUUCAUAGCAGUCAAGCAGCUGGUCAAAGCCUGCUUGCUAGCCACCAAGACAGAGUCUGUCUUCAAAGGACCAUGGCUCUAUUCAGUGGUGGAGUAUAUGCUUUGCAUUCAAAAGGUCCCCUGCUAAACCCAGGAGAGCUGCUUCCAGUUGUUUUCGGAGAGAUGGACAACUUGGACAAGUAGGCUAAUCAGCCAUAAGGCACUUUUCUAUGUGGUUUUGGACUCCCAUGUCACAGCUGGAACAGAUAAGCAAAUAAACAUUCUUUCUUUUUUAUUAAGAAUGUUCAGAAUACAUUACAAUAAAAAACAAACUGAUCUAAACAUUUUUUAAAAAAAGAAAGUAAAAAUAGAAUGCAGAGUCCUCUCACAGGUAGAUCUUAACUCUUGUCCCAUACAGAAAAAGGUGAACCCUCUCAGCUCUCACCUGGGACCUUUCUUUUCUUCUCCCAACCUCCCACCCUGCGAGAACUUCCCUUCCCUGCAUCUCACACAGGGUCCUUCACCAACCAUCCAUCACCUUCAUCUGCGUGCAGUUCUCUCCUUAACCCAGAGUAGAGGACAAAAAACAAAAUGAAAACAAAGCAAAUAAACUUUCCACUCUUUCCACUUUUCCUCUCUUUCCAGGAAAUGGCUGUCCUCCGAAGCCAGAUGGGUGGUGAGAUCUCGGUGGAAAUGGACGCUGCUCCUGGAGUGGACCUGACCAAGAUCCUGACGGAGAUGCGUGAGCAGUACGAGCACCUGGCAGAGAAGAACCGCAAGGAUGCUGAGCAGUGGUUCUUCAGCAAGGUGGGACUUCCUCUCAGGAUGAAGGAGCUUUCUGGAGGGGGAAAAAGAGUGCCACAGGUUCUCAAAUGGAUACUCGGUGCUCUGAGUUUCAUGUGAGCAACAUGUGUUCUCCUUUUGCUUGCAGACCGAAGAGCUGAACCGCGAAGUUGCCAUCCAUACAGAGCAGCUGCAGAGCGGCAAGUCGGAGAUCACAGAACUUAGGCGGAGCGUCCAAAGCUUGGAGAUAGAGUUGCAGACUCAACUCAGCACGGUAAGGGGGCACGUGGAACUGGGGAGGAUGAUGUGUCUUUGAAAGUCCCCUUGGCUCUAUUUUGGUGACACAGUCCAAGAAGUAGGACCUUUUCAUUUGAAUGAUUUGCGGUGCGUUUCUGGCCAUUGCGUAACAAUGCCCACCUCCCCUCUUUUGGACAGUAUCAUUAGUGUGUCCUUACACAGAGUGCAACUUUGCUUUUGGCUGCUCCUCAAUAGCUCAAGAAAAAAAAAAGGUAGUUAAGAGCACAGAGACACACAGGGCUCAAAAAUGAACUGUGCUUAAAUCCCAUUGAACUCAAUGGGAUAGGUUGGUGGUGACAAAUGGUGCAAUCUUAUAUGUCUAUUGAGCUCGUUGAAUUAAGUAGGACUUACUUCCGGCGAAGUGUGCAGCCUAUAUACACUACACUGUAUCAGAUUGCAGUCAUUGCGUUCUUUGGGUGAGAAAGUCAGAGGUGUGGCACUAAGAAGCGAUGGAGCGAGUCGUCCUGCUGCUCUUGUCUCAUAGCCUAGAGGCUCUGCAAAAAUUUAAUAUGGGAUGAUUAAAAAGUGGUUUCAUGGCUAGUUUGACUAGGCCUAGGACUAGACUAGGACCAGGGAGACCCAGGAUCAACUCCCCAUGCGGUCAUGAAGUUCACUAGGUGACCUAGGACCAGUCACUAUCUCUCAUCCUACUGUACCUGGUAGAGCUUUUAUGAGGGUGAAAUGUGUGCCUGUGUGAGUGAGUGAGAGAAACUCCUUUAAGCUUCUUGGGUGAAAGAUGAAUGCAACAACAAAGCUGUGUAAUAAUUUACAGAGCAGUAAUUCUAGUGCAGCAAAAACGACCUAGAGUCCUGUAGUCUUGUGGCACCUUAAAGACUAAUUUUUAUCAUGGCAUAAGCAUUUGUGGACUGCUUUCAGGCUUCCCACAUGCAUCUGGUUGGCCACUGUGAGAAUGGGAUGCUGGGCCAGAGAGACCUUUGGUCUCAUCCAGCAGGCUCCAUAACCCAAAGCUAUUUGCUGAUUGGACAUCUGCAUUUACCUAAGGACUUUAGAUGCUAUACCUGAUUUAACAAAUCUGACAAUUUUGGUUUCUGUCACUUUCUCAUUUUUCCAAUCUUAAAUCCAGUUCUCCACAUCUCAGUAGUAAUGUGCAGGGGUUUCAGAAUUUUGUCUGAAUUCUUCCUGAUAUACACAUUUUUAUAUAGACACCUUUUUUUUUUGCAAGCAACAUCCCUCAACAUAAUGAAUUUUGUGGAAAUUUCCUCUAAUAUAUGCAUAUUAUUUGGUUAGGAAGCUGCACCACAAAAUCUGGAAAAGUGCAAAUUCUGAAGAAUAGUUGUGUUUUGGUUUGCAAACAAAAUUCAAUUUCCCUCCGUCCCUCCUUGAAAUAUUUCAUGAAACCUGUUAAGUUGUGGGUGAACAUAUCAGACGACACAGCGAUUCUUCAAACAGCUCUUGUUUAUUCACAGGCCAGAACAGAACUGAACUGAAGGGUUCAGUCAGCCUGCUUAUAUAGAGCUCCAGUACAACGUAACUGUAACAAUUUUCUAAAACUAUCCAAUCACUGAACGUAACUUUUGAUACCUUAUUUGCCUAACUAUCUACAGUAUCCCCCGGCUGGCCCAGGGUGAGAACUUCAGUACAUAACAAAACCAGCGUGCAGCCCACUACUGUCAUUGUUAUAUACCUGAUAAUCUUCCAAAGUUCUCAAAGCAAUGAAUGUGACCCUCCUCUCAAUUCUCUUCCCCCAGAAAGCAGCACUGGAAGCCACCCUGGCAGAUACAGAGUCUCGCUAUGGCUCCCAGCUCGCCCAGAUCCAGGUUAUGAUCAGCAGCAUGGAGGAGCAGCUGGCUGAGUUGAGGUGCGACAUGGAGCGCCAGAACCACGAAUACAAGAUCCUUCUCGAUGUCAAGACCCGCCUGGAACAGGAGAUCGCCACCUACCGCCGCCUGUUGGAGGGAGAGGAGGCCCAGUACGUAAAAGAGGGGCUGGGAUGGCUGUGCUGGGGAGGGAUGGCAAGAAGGGAGUUCUAAAACAGCUCACAUGGAGCAAAACAGGGAGGUUCCUUCAAUAUCUUAAAAGGCAAUUUUAUCCAGAUUUUGGUGGUGCUGGCAUUAAUAGAUCCAUUAAUUAUUUUAUUAUCUAAUCAACAAACAACACUGUCAUUGGUAUGCAGCCCUGUUUCUAUAUUUAAUAGGCAUUUUUAGGAUUUUUUUUUUUUCUAUUAUUACAUUGGCAUUUCAUAAUGUAUUCUAGAAAAGCAGUCUGCAUUUCUAACUUGGCCAUGUUUCUUUCCUCUUUUCUUACAGCAUCAGUUCCCAGUACAAUGCAGCUGUGUCUGGAAGAGAUGGUAAGAAUGCAUGCCAACUAAAAAAAGUUCAGUUCUCAGAUUCUGGGGGAAAUAGAGGAGAACCUUUCAAGAGGCCCUGACUUGUCCCAUUUUUAGCCAAACCCAGUAGCCUUCUAAAAACAGUAGCUGAUGGACCACCACAAAUGGUAAGGAGAUGGCAAGGAGAUAAUCUGAACACUGCGACCCUUCAUCUUGUGUGAUGUUAGCUGCUGCCACUGCUAAGUGAGUCAGGAUGAAGAUAUCUCUGCGCAUCAAAGAAUGCUGUUCACCAACAUCACCAUCUUGGAUUGCAGUGUUACUAUCACCCUUGGCCAGAAUCCUGAGCAGAUUUCAGAUUUCUGAAUAACAUUAUGAUGCUUUCCUAAACUCACUUACUGGGAGUAAAGCUGUGCACACAUUAUACAUUUAAAGCACAUUUGAAAAUCAUUCAUUCCCUCAAAAAGUUCUGGGCACUUUAGUUUACCCCCAUAGAACUGCAAUCCCUAGCAACCACUUAACGAACUACUUCAGCGCCCAGAAUUCUUCGAGGAGAAAAUGUGCUUCAAAGGUAUAAUGUGUGUGCAGCCAUAGUCAUGCUGAACUCACUGAACUCUGAGCAAACAUGCCUAGGACUGCGCUAUUAAUGACAUCCCAGCCCCACACAAUUCCUGUUUUCCCCAACAAUUCCAAGUAGAUAAGAGGAAAGUAGAUGAGGUACUCAUCUCUGCUAUUCUGACAGGGCACAGACGGGGAGUGGGUGCUCUUCCAGAUGUUGUUGGACUCCAACUCCCAUCAGCCCCAGUCAGGAUGGCCAAUGGUCAAGGCUGACAGGAGUUCAGCAACAUUUGGGGGUGACCCACAGGUUUCCCAUCCCUGUAAGACAUCCUACUUUUGUCUCUCAACUACAUAUAUUUUGCAAACUGCUUUGAGGUUGUUGUGUUUUUUUACAAUCAAGUGGUGUGUGAGACAAGUUAUGAAAUAAUAUCAGGAGCAACUUCCUGGGGUCUUCUGUACGUGGAAAUGGAAACAUUAACCAGUCUGCUCACAGGCCUAGAAAGCAACAGAAGCCUUCCAGCAUUCCUUGGUCCUUCCCUCAAGGCCUGAUUGGCUCCCAGCUCAGCCUCCCAGUUGGCUGAGGACCCUAUAUAAGCUUCUCAGGUCCUCUCACCUCCUGAUCAUUACGUUUUUGAGAUGGAGUUAUCUGGUGAAGUUAUGAAACAUCUGAAGGGGAAAUAAACCCUCUCUCCAAUUCUUCUCUUGCAGUGACAAAGACCUCACGUCAAGUCCGCAUGAUUGUCGAGGAGGUUGAAGAUGGAAAGGUCGUCUCUUCUCGUGAGCAGGUCAAACAGUCCAGCUAUUGAAAAGAACCUGCCAUCAAUAGUGCCCCAAGACUAUAGUUCUGUGGAUACAACUGAGAGAGUUUAACAUCACAGAAUCUUCAUGCGUUCUGCAGUAUGCCUUCCUUUUUUUAAUUAAAAAAAAUAGUUAUCAGCAAGUUUUCCAAAUUAACAAAAACAACACAUAUUUUCUGUUAUGUAUGUGUGUGCAGCUUCCUUUGCAUAAGGAAGAAAAAGCACACUGUCAACUGCCUUGCUUGCUAAUAGCUAAUAAAGCAUUAUUUCCUAUAAAACACG